rnacentral:rRNA from 1 species
AMCMMUGCCAARGUCGAACGGUAACAGGUCUAGCUUGCUAGAUGCUGACGAGUGGCGGACGGGUGAGUAACGCGUAGGAAUCUACCUUGUAGUGGGGGAUAACUUGGGGAAACCCAAGCUAAUACCGCAUGAGCCCUAAGGGGGAAAGCAGGGGACCGUAAGGCCCUGUGCUAUGAGAUGAGCCUGCGUCGGAUUACCUAGUUGGUGGGGUAAAGGCCUACCAAGGCGAGGAUCCGUAGCUGGUCUGAGAGGACGACCAGCCACACUGGGACUGAGACACGGCCCAGACUCCUACGGGAGGCAGCAGUGGGGAAUAUUGGACAAUGGGCGCAAGCCUGAUCCAGCAAUGCCGCGUGUGUGAAGAAGGCCUGCGGGUUGUAAAGCACUUUCAGUGGGGAGGAAGGUCUCAAUGCUMAUAGUAUUGAGAAUUGACGUUACCUACAGAAGAAGCACCGGCUAACUCUGUGCCAGCAGCCGCGGUAAUACAGAGGGUGCGAGCGUUAAUCGGAAUUACUGGGCGUAAAGGGCGCGUAGGUGGUCACUUAAGUCAGAUGUGAAAUCCCGAGGCUCAACCUCGGAACUGCCUCCAAAACUUCCAGUCUGGACUCAAGCAGAGGCAAGUGGAAUUGCGAGUGUAGAGGUGAAAUUCGUAGAUAUUCGCAGGAACACCCAGUGGCGAAGGCGACUUGCUGGGGCUUGUASUUGACGCUGASACGCGAAAGCGUGGGGAGCAAAACAGGAUUAGAUACCCUGGUAGUCCACGCUGUAAACGAUGAGAGCUAGUUUGUCGGCWCGCAUGCGUGUCGGGUGACGCCAWCUUAACGCAUUAAGCUCUUCCGCCCUGGGG